rnacentral:snRNA from 1 species
AUACUUACCUGGCAGAGGAGAUACCAUGACCGUGAAGGUGGUUUUCCCAGAGUGAGGCUUAUCCAUUGCACUCCAGAUGUGCUGACCCCUGGGAUUUCCCCAAAUGUGGGAAACUUGACUGCAUCAUUUGUGGUAGUAGGGGACUGCAUUUGCGCUCUCCCCUG